rnacentral:rRNA from 1 species
UACGUAGGGUGCAAGCGUUGUCCGGAAUUAUUGGGCGUAAAGAGCUCGUAGGCGGUUUGUUGCGUCGGCUGUGAAAUCCCGAGGCUCAACCUCGGGUCUGCAGUCGAUACGAGCAAACUAGAGUGUUGCAGGGGAGACUGGAAUUCCUGGUGUAGCGGUGAAAUGCGCAGAGUAUCAGGAGGAACACCGGGUGGCGAAGGCGGGGUCUCU